AGUGAACGCUGGCGGUAUGCCUAACACAUGCAAGUCGAACGGCAGCACAGUAAGAGCUUGCUCUUACGGGCGGCGAGUGGCGGACGGGUGAGGAAUACAUCGGAAUCUACUUUUUCGGGGGGGAUAACGUAGGGAAACUUACGCUAAUACCGCAUACGACCUACGGGUGAAAGCAGGGGAUCUUCUGACCUUGCGCGAUUGAAUGAGCCGAUGUCGGAUUAGCUAGUUGGCGGGGUAAAGGCCCACCAAGGCGACGAUCCGUAGCUGGUCUGACAGGGUGAUCAGCCACACUGGAACUGAGACACGGUCCAGACUCCUGCGGGAGGCAGCAGUGGGGAAUAUUAGACGAUGGGCGAAAGCCUGAUCCAGCCAUACCGCGUGAGUGAAGAAGGCCUUCGGGUUGUAGAGCCCUUUUGUUGGGAAAGAAAUACAGCAGGUUAAUACCCCACUGUUAUGACGGUACCCAAAGAAUAAGCACCGGCUAACUUCGUG
rnacentral:rRNA from 1 species